UUAACGCCUGCUGUCAUGGCAAUGGUGGAGACGCUGCGACCUUCCCGAGUGCAAAUGGCGGCGCUCAUGCGAACUGACUGAACAGCCGCGCACGCCCGUUGGCCACAUUACCGUGCGUCGGACUACACUGGACGAAAUAUGCUGCUCAAGAAUGCACAUUGACUUCGGAGGUCUUCUUCAGAAUAUUGGAGUAAAGCCAGCAAUUUUAAUGGAGUCAAUCCGUCCAUAUGACCACUUGGUGCAAGCUUCAUUUUUGUGUUACACAUUCACUCAUUACAAUAACUGUAAUAAAAGAUUUGGAAAAUA